rnacentral:rRNA from 1 species
GGGACACGUGGUAUCCUGUCUGAAUAUGGGGGGACCAUCCUCCAAGGCUAAAUACUCCUGACUGACCGAUAGUGAACCAGUACCGUGAGGGAAAGGCGAAAAGAACCCCGGCGAGGGGAGUGAAAAAGAACCUGAAACCGUGUACGUACAAGCAGUGGGAGCACGCUUAGGCGUGUGACUGCGUACCUUUUGUAUAAUGGGUCAGCGACUUAUAUUCUGUAGCAAGGUUAACCGAAUAGGGGAGCCGAAGGGAAACCGAGUCUUAACUGGGCGUUAAGUUGCAGGGUAUAGACCCGAAACCCGGUGAUCUAGCCAUGGGCAGGUUGAAGGUUGGGUAACACUAACUGGAGGACCGAACCGACUAAUGUUGAAAAAUUAGCGGAUGACUUGUGGCUGGGGGUGAAAGGCCAAUCAAACCGGGAGAUAGCUGGUUCUCCCCGAAAGCUAUUUAGGUAGCGCCUCGUGAAUUCAUCUCCGGGGGUAGAGCAC